GGUGGCAGGGCCCAACCAGCGCAGAGAGGUGUGCCCCAGGCAUCUCUGGGCAGGUAUCUCUUUGAGUGCCUCACUCUCAAGCACGACUAGGAGGCCUCUGUGCCUUCC
rnacentral:pre_miRNA from 14 species